GCCAGGUGCAGUGGUGGACACCUGUAAUCCCAGCAGCAUGGGAGGCUGAGGCAGGAGGAUCAAGAGUUCAAAACCAGCCUCAG
rnacentral:sRNA from 1 species